AUGUGGUUUAAUUCGAAGCAACGCGAAGAACCUUACCAGGUCUUGACAUCCCGAUGCUAUUUCUAGAGAUAGAAAGUUACUUCGGUACAUCGGUGACAGGUGGUGCAUGGUUGUCGUCAGCUCGUGUCGUGAGAUGUUGGGUUAAGUCCCGCAACGAGCGCAACCCCUAUUGUUAGUUGCCAUCAUUCAGUUGGGCACUCUAGCGAGACUGCUGGUAAUAAACCGGAGGAAGGUGGGAUGACGUCAAAUCAUCAUGCCCCUUAUGACCUGGGCUACACACGUGCUACAAUGGUUGGUACAACGAGUUGCGAGUCGGUGACGGCGAGCUAAUCUCUUAAAGCCAAUCUCAGUUCGGAUUGUAGGCUGCAACUCGCCUACAUGAAGUCGGAAUCGCUAAUAAUCGCGGAUCAGCACGCCGCGGUGAAUACGUUCCCGGGCCUU
rnacentral:rRNA from 1 species